rnacentral:lncRNA from 1 species
GGGGGUAAAGAGCAAUUUGUGGCGUGGUCGGGGACGGCUCGCGUUUGUUUUUCUGCCGAGCUGUCCCCUUCACGUUCAAAGUGGCUGGAAAGCUGUUUGCUUUCCCGGCGUGGCCCCAGCUCCACCCAUAGUUAGCGCUUAAUAUCUAUUCCACCUCGUUCUUUUCCCCCCUCCCCCACUAAGUAGUUCGAAAGGCACAGCCACCUACUUACUCCGGUUAGCUUCUCUGAAGCCGACAAAACUAAGGCGGGGCGGGAAUCUAAACUUGUUGCGCCUCAUAUUCUGUGGAUCAUUAGGAAAAAUAUAUUCAAAACAAGAUACUAAUUGAUAUUGGGAGAAGUGCAUACUCUCAUCUCUGCUUGCAAGAAAGUGGCAUUCUGUACCCUUCUAAAGGACAAUACAUCAAGGCUGACUGUGCAGCUA